CCUACGGGAGGCAGCAGUGGGGAAUAUUGCACAAUGGGCGCAAGCCUGAUGCAGCCAUGCCGCGUGUGUGAAGAAGGCCUUCGGGUUGUAAAGCACUUUCAGCGGGGAGGAAGGCGUUAAGGUUAAUAACCUUGGCGAUUGACGUUACCCGCAGAAGAAGCACCGGCUAACUCCGUGCCAGCAGCCGCGCUAAUACGGAGGGUGCAAGCGUUAAUCGGAAUUACUAGGCGUAAAGCGCACGCAGGCGGUCUGUCAAGUCGGAUGUGAAAUCCCCGGGCUCAACCUGGGAACUGCAUUCGAAACUGGCAGGCUAGAGUCUUGUAGAGGGGGGUAGAAUUCCAGGUGUAGCGGUGAAAUGCGUAGAGAUCUGGAGGAAUACCGGUGGCGAAGGCGGCCCCCUGGACAAAGACUGACGCUCAGGUGCGAAAGCGUGGGGAGCAAACAGGAUUAGAUACCCUAGUAGUC
rnacentral:rRNA from 1 species